CCUUCUGCUAUAAGGCUGCAUCAGGAGGAGGAUCAUCUGCUUCCAGACCCAGUUGACCUUGAAUAACAAACCGUGGAAAGCAAAGGCCUGGAUAAGAGAGGACUAUUCUACUACAUUGUGACUUGUGUUGUAAGGAUCUGUAUUGUUUAGAGAGGGACUAAAACGCAUCAGCUGAAACACCCCUUCAAAUGUGUAUGGGAGAUUCUCUCCAGGACACUUGGACUCUUCACUCAGUGUUAUUAUCUGAUAAGAAAGGACCUACAUCCAGAAGCCCACACUGUCACUCAAGCUCUCUCCAUGCCAGCUAUCCUUGAAAGUGACCUAACAGUGUGGAUCCGUGCCCACUGCUCUGGGGACACCUCUGCUCCCUGGCUCACUGGAAUCCAUAGCAAGGCUCUGCUGUGCUCAGUGACCCAGUUGCCAGUUGGCUUUGGUCAAGCUUCAGGAUUUAAGAUUUUGUCACCUUCUUAGUCUCAAAUGUCCACAUCACCAUGUCAUUCCCUACUUCACUGUAACUACUUAUACCUCACAGAACCUGGAGAAUAUACAGGACCUGGAGAGUGUAGAAAAGUCUUUACAAAAGUGAAUAAUCUGACUUUUAAGAACUAUACUUCCCUACUUUUUAGUAUUCAUUUCUUUGAGAACUUUUGCUGUUUUCCAGAUUUUACAUGGCCAAUGUGAGAAUAAUCCCCUUUACUGAGCUUUCUAACAAGUUGUAAACUUAUUUGAACAGAUCUUUGAACCUA